UGAGGAAUAUUGGUCAAUGGGCGCAAGCCUGAACCAGCCAUCCCGCGUGAAGGAAGAAGGCCCUAUGGGUUGUAAACUUCUUUUCCAGGGGGAGAAUUUUUCCGUCGUGACGGGAAUUGACGGUACUCUGGGGAUAAGCAUCGGCUAACUCCGUGCCAGCAGCCGCGGUAAUACGGAGGAUGCGAGCGUUAUCCGGAUUUAUUGGGUUUAAAGGGUGCGUAGGCGGAUUGAUAAGUCAGUGGUGGAAGGCUGCAGCUUAACUGUAGACUUGCCGUUGAUACUGUCAGUCUUGAGUAUGGUCAAGGCAGGCGGAAUGUGUAAUGUAGCGGUGAAAUGCUUAGAUAUUACACAGAACACCGAUUGCGAAGGCAGCCUGCUGGGCCAUCACUGACGCUCAUGCACGAAAGCGUGGGGAUCGAACAG
rnacentral:rRNA from 1 species